GAUAAGAUGGCAGAAAGAAAUUGUAUUGGAUUGUAAAUCUGAUUAAGAAGGUUAGAUUCCUUUUCUUAUUG
rnacentral:tRNA from 1 species